rnacentral:rRNA from 1 species
CCUACGGGAGGCAGCAGUGAGGAAUAUUGGUCAAUGGACGCAAGUCUGAACCAGCCAUGCCGCGUGCAGGAAGACGGCUCUAUGAGUUGUAAACUGCUUUUGUACGAGGGUAAACGCAGAUACGCGUAUCUGUCUGAAAGUAUCGUACGAAUAAGGAUCGGCUAACUCCGUGCCAGCAGCCGCGGUAAUACGGAGGAUUCAAGCGUUAUCCGGAUUUAUUGGGUUUAAAGGGUGCGUAGGCGGUCGGAUAAGUUAGAGGUGAAAUCCCGAGGCUCAACUUCGGAAUUGCCUCUGAUACUGUCCGGCUAGAGAGUAGUUGCGGUAGGCGGAAUGUAUGGUGUAGCGGUGAAAUGCUUAGAGAUCAUACAGAACACCGAUUGCGAAGGCAGCUUACCAAGCUACUUCUGACGUUGAGGCGCGAAAGCGUGGGGAGCAAACAGGAUUAGAUACCCCAGUAGUC